AUGUCCGCUGAUGUUGUGCUGGCUUCGGUCGUUAUGCUAUCGCAGGGCUAAGAACAAAACAACCAUUCAUCCUCUCUUGGGUACCAGCUCUGACGACCGAACAAAGCCGUUGACGACCAGCUCACCUGCGGUCUGUUGUGUCUGCACACCAUCCACCUGAGGUAGGGGCCCAAGUGUCCCUUCAUCAUUAAAGGCCAAAAUUGGUUUCAAAGGAAUUUCUGGGUUCUCAUUGGUGACAUCUAAUCUGGACGCUUUUGAUCCAACAGCGACUCCAUGUGGGCUCUCUGCAGACUCUCCGUUUCCUGAAGAGGCCAUACACGGCAGUGCAGGUACUUCUGCAUGCAGCGAGGAGAGCAAACCGUUACUAAUAUGCCACCAUCAAACCCACCCUCUAGGCACCAGAACCUGGAUAUCUGACCUGACUGUACAACUCACUGCCUGUGGGAUGUUGGGCAAAUGAAACAAACCCUAAUCCUUCCUGGAUAACAGUACCUGCCUGACAGGCUACUAACUGUGCUAACAUGGGCAAAGUUUUCACUGCUCGGCCGACUGAAGGGCAGAAAUAACCGUUACUAUUAUUUUGUUUGUACUAAGUUAGGUCUGGACAUUGACACUGA
rnacentral:lncRNA from 1 species